rnacentral:rRNA from 1 species
CGCUGGCGGCGUGCCUAACACAUGCGUUGUAUUAGCUAGUUGGUGGGGUAACGGCUCACCAAGGCGACGAUACAUAGGGGGACUGAGAGGUUAACCCCCCCACAUUGGUACUGAGACACGGACCAAACUCCUACGGGAGGCAGCAGUGAGGAAUAUUGGUCAAUGGACGCAAGUCUGAACCAGCCAUGCCGCGUGCAGGAUGACGGCUCUAUGAGUUGUAAACUGCUUUUGUAUGAGGGUAAUAUCAGGUACGUGUACCUGCUUGAAAGUAUCAUACGAAUAAGGAUCGGCUAACUCCGUG